rnacentral:rRNA from 1 species
UAGGGAAUCUUCCGCAAUGGACGCAAGUCUGACGGAGCAACGCCGCGUGAGUGAAGAAGGAUUUCGGUUCGUAAAACUCUGUUGUUAGAGAAGAACAGCGCAUAGAGUAACUGUUAUGCGUGUGACGGUAUCUAACCAGAAAGCCACGGCUAACUACGUGCCAGCAGCCGCGGUAAUACGUAGGUGGCAAGCGUUGUCCGGAUUUAUUGGGCGUAAAGCGAGCGCAGGCGGUCAAUUAAGUCUGAUGUGAAAGCCCCCGGCUCAACCGGGGAGGGUCAUUGGAAACUGGUUGACUUGAGUGCAGAAGAGGAGAGUGGAAUUCCAUGUGUAACGGUGAAAUGCGUAGAUAUAUGGAGGAACACCAGUGGCGAAGGCGACUCUCUGGUCUGUAACUGACGCUGAGGCUCGAAAGCGUGGGGAGCGAACAGG